rnacentral:rRNA from 1 species
AAUGAACGCUGGCGGCGUGCCUAACACAUGCAAGUCGAGCGAGAAGUCCCUUCGGGGGGCGAGUACAGCGGCGCACGGGUGAGUAACGCGUGGGUAACCUACCCAGGAGUGGGGUAUAACUCGCCGAAAGGCGGGCUAAUCCCGCAUACGUCCGAUAGACUCAAGUCUGUUGGAGAAAGAUGGCCUCUGCUUGCAAGCUAUUGCCCUUGGAUGGGCCCGCGUUAGAUUAGCUAGUUGGUGAGGUAAUUGCUCACCAAGGCAACGAUCUAUAGCUGGUUUGAGAGGACGACCAGCCACACUGGAACUGAGACACGGUCCAGACUCCUACGGGAGGCAGCAGUGAGGAAUAUUGCGCAAUGGGGGAAACCCUGACGCAGCGACGCCGCGUGAGUGAUGAAGGCCUUCGGGUUGUAAAGCUCUGUCAGAGGGAAAGAAAGGGGAUGCGGAAUAAUACCCGCAGCCAUUGACGGUACCCUCGGAGGAAGCACCGGCUAACUCCGUGCCAGCAGCCGC